rnacentral:sRNA from 1 species
ACCUUUGCUGUCUUGGGACGGAUCACCACUGCAAGAGGGGAAGUUGCUACUGUGAUGAAUUCUGCCAUGUGGCACCAGACUGCCACCCAGACCACAGUGUCCUCUGCAACCCUGCUUCUCAGAUGACCAAGAUGGUGCUGCAGAUGGUGCUGAGGAUGGAGAACCCACCAAGCCCCGCUAGGAGCCACCUAGACUGGAUGCAGAGCAUGGAGUUUUAUUUGCUUCCAAGAAGGAAGGCAAGAUUUCCUGGGUCCGUGAUGAUGGAAGGCUGACAACUCUUUUAUGGAGUUUGAGCUUGCUCCCAGCAGGGAAGACAAGUUCGAGUUUUUUUCCUGCUUCAAGGAUGGUAGAGAGCAGUCUUCAGCCUGAGACCCAUCCCUAGGCCCCAGCACCCGCAGAGCAGACACUGCGAUGACAACGGACGACACAGAAGUGCCCGCUAUGACUCUAGCACCGGGCCACGCCGCUCUGGAAACUCAAACGCUGAGCGCUGAGACCUCUUCUAGGGCCUCAACCCCAGC